GGGGCCGUAGCCCAGCUGGGAGAGCGCUUGACUGGCAGUCAAGAGGUCGCGGGUUCGAAUCCCGUCGGCUCCA
rnacentral:tRNA from 1 species